rnacentral:rRNA from 1 species
UUUGAGAGCCUCAUGCCCCGGCAGGGAACGAAUGCUGAGCGGCGCGCACCGAGCGACUGGAAUGUCGCCAACACCUAGUUCCCACCGUUUACGGCGUGGUACUACCAGGGUAUCUAAUCCUGUUCGCUCCCCACGCUUUCGCUCCUCAGCGUCAGUAAUGGCCCAGAGAUCCGCCUUCGCCACCGGUGUUCCUCCUGAUAUCUGCGCAUUUCACCGCUACACCAGGAAUUCCGAUCUCCCCUACCACACUCUAGCUAGCCCGUAUCGAAUGCAGACCCGGGGUUAAGCCCCGGGCUUUCACACCCGACGUGACAAGCCGCCUACGAGCUCUUUACGCCCAAUAAUUCCGGACUUACGCUUGCGCCCUACGUAUUACCGCGGCUGCUGGCACGUAGUUAGCCGGCGCUUCUUCUGCAGGUACCGUCACUUGCGCUUCUUCCCUGCUAGAAAGAGGUUUACAACCCGAAGGCCGUCAUCCCUCACGCGGCGUCGCUGCAUCAGGCUUUCGCCCAUUGUGCAAUAUUCCCCACUGCUGCCUCCCGUAGGAGUCUGGGCCGUGUCUCAGUCCCAGUGUGGCCGGUCGCCCUCUCAGGCCGGCUACCCGUCGUUCGCCUUGGUGAGCCAUUACCUCACCAACAAGCUGAUAGGCCGCGGGCUCAUCCUGCACCGCCGGAGCUUCACCACAGACCAUGANGCCGUAAUGUAUCCGGUAUAAACCCCUUUCCCGGCUUGUCCCNAAUUCAGGCAAAUUGCCCCCUGUUACUCCCCGUUCCCCUUANUCCCCCCCAACUGGUCAUCNUCAACUUCCUUUUAACCCCCCCCCACCUUUGUCUAAACCGGAUAACCAAACUGUUUCCC